UUUAACUUGCAUGUUUAAAAUGUUUAUGGUAGUAUAAAAGACAAAGCUAUCACAAACACUUCACAGAACCAUACAAAAUGAAGUUAAUUCUAUUUUUCUUUAUCGUAACAAUUACCGCUGUUCUUAGCGAGGAAGAUUUUAAAAAACCUGACAUCAAGUGUAUAAUAACAGCUAUUGUUAAGUUCGCACAAUGUCUGAAACCGAAUAACGGAUUUCUUUUACAUUCGAGCCAAAGAUUGGAAUUCGAUACGAGUCCACCUGCCGAAUGUAUCACAAAGUUGCUUGAAGAACUGACUGCUUGUGUGUAAUUCGAUUUGUUAUUUGUUUGUAGAUGAUGGCGUUCGCAAUAUAUUCUGGAGUUUCAACAUUGAAAAUAAAUAUCUAAUUGAGCAAG